rnacentral:rRNA from 1 species
CGCGUAGGGCGCAAGCGUUGUCCGGAAUUAUUGGGCGUAAAGAGCUCGUAGGCGGUCUGUUACGUCUGCUGUGAAAACCCGGGGCUUAACCCUGGGCUUGCAGUGGAUACGGGCAGACUAGAGGCAGGUAGGGGAGAACGGAAUUCCUGGUGUAGCGGUGAAAUGCGCAGAUAUCAGGAGGAACACCGGUGGCGAAGGCGGUUCUCUGGGCAUUACCUGACGCUGAGGAGCGAAAGUGUGGGGAGCGAACAGG